rnacentral:rRNA from 1 species
UACGGAGGGGGCUAGCGUUGUUCGGAAUUACUGGGCGUAAAGGGCGCGCAGGCGGCUCUGAAAGUCAGAUGUGAAAGCCCCGGGCUUAACCUGGGAAUUGCAUUUGAUACUCUGGAGCUUGAGUACGGGAGAGGAGAGUGGAAUUCCCAGUGUAGAGGUGAAAUUCGUAGAUAUUGGGAAGAACACCGGUGGCGAAGGCGGCUCUCUGGACCGUAACUGACGCUGAGGCGCGAAAGCGUGGGGAGCAAACAGG